rnacentral:rRNA from 1 species
CACGCCCGUCACAUCACGAAAGCCAGUUGUACUAGAAGCCGGCAAUUCAACCGCAAGGAGAUAGCCGUCCAAGGUAUGACUGGUGAUUGGGGUG